GCUGCUGAUGCUGGGUACGGAUGACUGUUUGAAAGAGUUCUGUUGUUUAUUGCUAGGAAUUUACUAGAAACCUAAGAGAACUUUUAGGAUCAAAACAUUUUCUAGGUAGAUUCACUCAUUGCAGCCAUUUGUCCCUGAUCUUUCUGGUUUUGUGUCUUAGGAAAAAGAAAGCGAGGCCACGAAGGCAAAGGACCCAGACGCUCAAGGAAGGAAGGCAGCCCCACCCAACGCUCCCGACACCCCAGACGCAUGCGGUCUAGAUAAUCUGUGCAUUUUCUGUGGGGAGAGGAGCGAUGCCUUCACCGACGAGGGCCUGGACCUCCACUACUGGAAGCACUGCCUCAUGCUGACGAGGUGUGACCACUGCAGACAGGUCAGGCGCUGGGCCGGGGGCGGGCAGCCGUUCUUGAAAGGCCGAGUCACAAAACACCCCAGGUCUUAGGACGUUCAGAGGAAAAGCAUGGGGAAGGUAGUGGAACGCCCAUCACCCCGUUUGGUUUGGGGUUGCUUUUUCUUACGUUUUUAUCCAAGUAUCACACACAUGUGUAAAUGCGGACACGCUGUAAGUGUCACAGCUCAUCGAAUCGUCACCAAGUCAGCACCCUGUGUACCCUCCACCCAGAUCGGGUACCCCUUGGCUUCCACCACCUCUGCUCCCCUCCCCAGUUGUCACUGCCCUGGUUUCUGACACCACAAAUUAGCGUUUCUUUAAGUUUUAUGUAAAUGGAAUCAUACAAUACGUGGUGUGAUCACACAAUAUGGUGAAUGUUUAAAUAAAAAAAAUUAUCACAGUAAAAGACACAUUACCGUUAAUUCCCCUCAAAAUACUCCCCCUGGCUUCAAACACGCUAUCCUGUCGUUCUUGCCACUUUCUGAAGCAGGUCUGGAAGUCCUCUGCUGUGAGGCGCCUUUGAGUGCCGGGCCGUUUGUAAAGUCGGCUGCCGGUCUUGUUUCUGCCGAUCGGCAGCCGCUCUUUACCUGUUGGACGGGAGUCCUUGUCAGUGACUGUGCGGUGCCGCCUUCCCACAGUCCGUGUCUGGCCUUGUUGUCUCGAGUGUCUUGAUGAAAGGAAGCUUUUCAUUGUAUCGUUUGCCAUCUUUUUUUGUAGUUAAUGCUUUUUGCGUCCCAUUUAA